rnacentral:rRNA from 1 species
GAUGAACGCUGGCGGCGUGCCUAAUACAUGCAAGUCGAGCGAAUGGAUUAAGAGCUUGCUCUUAUGAAGUUAGCGGCGGACGGGUGAGUAACACGUGGGUAACCUGCCCAUAAGACUGGGAUAACUCCGGGAAACCGGGGCUAAUACCGGAUAACAUUUUGAACCGCAUGGUUCGAAAUUGAAAGGCGGCUUCGGCUGUCACUUAUGGAUGGACCCGCGUCGCAUUAGCUAGUUGGUGAGGUAACGGCUCAUCAAGGCAACGAUGCGUAGCCGACCUGAGAGGGUGAUCGGCCGCACUGGGACUGAGACACGGCCCAGACUCCUACGGGAGGCGGCAGUAGGGAAUCUUCCGCAAUGGACGAAAGUCUGACGGAGCAACGCCGCGUGAGUGAUGAAGGCUUUCGGGUCGUAAAACUCUGUUGUUAGGGAAGAACAAGUGCUAGUUGAUUAAGCUGGCACCUUGACGGUACCUAACCAGAAAGCCACGGCUAACUACGUGCCAGCAGCCGCAGUAA